rnacentral:rRNA from 1 species
AGUGAACGCUGGCGGUAGGCCUAACACAUGCAAGUCGAACGGCAGCACAGUAAGAGCUUGCUCUUACGGGUGGCGAGUGGCGGACGGGUGAGGAAUACAUCGGAAUCUACUUUUUCGUGGGGGAUAACGUAGAGAAACUUACGCUAAUACCGCAUACGACCUACGGGUGAAAGCAGGGGAUCUUCGGACCUUGCGCGAUUGAAUGAGCCGAUGUCGGAUUAGCUAGUUGGCGGGGUAAAGGCCCACCAAGGCGUCGAUCCGUAGCUGGUCUGAGAGGAUGAUCAGCCACACUGGAACUGAGACACGGUCCAGACUCCUACGGGAGGCAGCAGUGGGGAAUAUUGGACAAUGGGCGCAAGCCUGAUCCAGCCAUACCGCGUGGGUGAAGAAGGCCUUCGGGUUGUAAAGCCCUUUUGUUGGGAAAGAAAAGCAGCAGGUUAAUACCCCGCUGUUCUGACGGUACCCAAAGAAUAAGCACCGGCUAACUUCGUG